GUGAAAAAACGUGAAUCUAAAAUAAUAUUAAAUUACAUUAAUUAAAAUCAGAAUGUUAGAAGAUUUUUGGAAUCUAUGGUAAAUAUCUGGUUCGUGUCUUUACUUCCGUCGUGCCCUGGGUUUGAGUGUACAGCGUCUCUACACAGAGGAGGAGGAGGAGGAGGAGUCUCGACAAGAUGCAGAUCUCUGUUACACAUCAAUCAGAUUUUCCAGCCAAACAGAAACAAACGUCCUGAUACAGGCGGGAACUGAAAUCUGCGGAGCGCUGCGACUCGUUCUCUUCAGAUCCUCAAGGUCACGAGUAUCUCACUGAUCCACUCACAGUUCCCAACUCCUCUGUACCAGCUCGGCCGUGCCACACCUCCUCGAGUGAUCCUUGAGUGAUCGUGCCCCCAUGUUUGGGUGGGGUUUGUGUAACGCCCCAGAGAAGCAGACAUGAGGACGCUCUCGUCGCCGUGCUUAACUGUGGGUUCUCCGGAGCCUCCUGCCAAGUGACCCCAGACUCCUCCCCCCAUCAGCAUUAAUCUGAUUGUGGUUCACCUCUUCAUGCAUCUUUUGGACGAGUCGUUCCAGUUACCCUGCUAGGGUUUUUGCUCCGCCUCUUUUCCAUUCCAAUGUUUAAUAGAUUUUCCCCCUGAGAACUUUAGGAAUCUCCACCUUCACCACGGUGCAUGAAACCGUCCUGAUCAACGGGAAUGUAUUUUGAAUUCACACCAGGUGUUAAACAGGCGUGUAACUCCUUACUUCUAAUUAACACUCAUUUACCUUGAACAUGAAAUAUUUUUCAUGUACUCUGCAAAUUACUAUUAUUAUUAUUAUAAUUGUCAUUAUUAUGAUUAUUAUUAUGACUUUUCCUGGUGAUGCCGCCAUCAUCAAAUCAACAUCUGGCUAGAGAACGUGGUGCUUCAAUUCUGUUCACAAUGAAUAAAUAAAUAAACUUAAUCAAAACAGAGUUUUUUCAAUGUUGUUUUUGUUUUCACUCAUUAAUGAAACAGUAUAAAUGUGUAUUUUGAGUGUGUGUGUGUGUGUCACAGAUGUGUUACUCAUUUCUGCAUACACGAUGUUAAAGUGUCUGAGAAUCUGGAUUCUCAGCAAAUUCCCACCAGGCAUGGCGAGAUUCAUGCGUCGGAGAGGGCUGGAGAGGGAUCCUGAGACUUGUGGAAAUAAGCUCAGUAAAUGACUCUCGCCGAGUUCACAGUAAGAACGAGACAUAUCCAG